GAUAAACGCUGGCGGCGUGCCUAAUACAUGCAAGUCGAACGCGAGAGGAGGGAGCUUGCUCCCUCUGAUCGAGUGGCGGACGGGUGAGUAACACGUAGGCAACCUGCCCAUCAGUCCGGGAUAACCGCGGGAAACCGUGGCUAAUACCGGAUGAUCCUCUCCACCGCGGGGUGGGGAGUUGAAAGACGGUUUCGGCUGUCGCUGAUGGAUGGGCCUGCGGCGCAUUAGCUGGUUGGCGGGGUAACGGCCCACCAAGGCAACGAUGCGUAGCCGGCCUGGGGGGGUGAUCGGCCACACUGGGACUGCGACACGGCCCAGACUCCUACGGGAGGCAGCAGUAGGGAAUCUUCCGCAAUGGACGCAAGUCUGACGGAGCAACGCCGCGUGAGUGAAGAAGGGUUUCGGCUCGUAAAACUCUGUUGUUAAGGAAGAACGACAGGUAGAGUAACUGCUACCUGUGUGACGGUACUUAACCAGAAAGCCACGGCUAACUACGUGCCAGCCGCCGCGGUAA
rnacentral:rRNA from 1 species